rnacentral:misc_RNA from 1 species
AAUUCUCAACCUAAACUUGGUUUUGCGACCGACGUUUAGGCUUGGACUUGGGGGUUGCCGGCUUCUGAAGUCAGCUCCUCUUAAAAGCAUUAGCGGUGACUUGGUUAGCCGUUCCUUGGUGUGAUAAUUAUCUACGCUUUGGUUCAGCUUCCAGUUUGUGUCACAGCUUCUAACUGUCUGUUAACUCGGACUGUUUGCUUGCAAACACUUUUGAC